AAAGAAACCAACAGGGAUUGCCCUAGUAACGGCGAGUGAAGCGGCAACAGCUCAAAUUUGAAAUCUGGCCCUCGGGUCCGAGUUGUAAUUUGUAGAGGAUGCUUUUGGUGAGGUACCUUCCGAGUUCCCUGGAACGGGACGCCAUAGAGGGUGAGAGCCCCGUCUGGUUGGAUACCGAUCCUCUGUAAAGCUCCUUCGACGAGUCGAGUAGUUUGGGAAUGCUGCUCUAAAUGGGAGGUAUAUGUCUUCUAAAGCUAAAUACCGGCCAGAGACCGAUAGCGCACAAGUAGAGUGAUCGAAAGAUGAAAAGCACUUUGAAAAGAGAGUUAAAAAGUACGUGAAAUUGUUGAAAGGGAAGCGCUUAUGACCAGACUUGGGCUUGGUUGAUCAUCCUGGGUUCUCCCUGGUGCACUCUUCCAGUUCAGGCCAGCAUCAGUUCGCUGCGGGGGAUAAAAGCUUUAGGAAUGUGGCUCCCUCGGGAGUGUUAUAGACUAUUGCAUAAUACCCUGCUCCGGACUGAGGUUCGCGCAUCUGCAAGGAUGCUGGCGUAAUGGUCAUCAGCGACCCGUCUUGAAACACGGACCAAGGAGUCGUCUUCGUAUGCGAGUGUUCGGGUGUUAAACCCCUACGCGUAAUGAAAGUGAACGCAGGUGAGAGCUUCGGCGCAUCAUCGACCGAUCCUGAUGUUCUCGGAUGGAUUUGAGUAAGAGCAUACGGGGCCGGACCCGAAAGAAGGUGAACUAUGCCUGUAUAGGGUGAAGCCAGAGGAAACUCUGGUGGAGGCUCGCAGCGGUUCUGACGUGCAAAUCGAUCGUCAAAUAUGGGCAUGGGGGCGAAAGACUAAUCGAACCUUCUAGUAGCUGGUU
rnacentral:rRNA from 2 species